rnacentral:misc_RNA from 1 species
AUUUGAUACUAUAUGGUCAUUUAUGUAAUUAUUGCAUGGAUAAUGUGCCAAUCUAAUUGUCAUUUUAUUUCAUAUGGACAGUAUAUAAAUUGUAAUUUUCAUGAUAUUAACAAAAAAUUUUAUAAAAGGUUUCAAUAUAUUAAACCUCGUAGUACUAACGUGACACAAAAAUUUUUAUCUUUUAAGUGUUGGAGGUAAAUUACAAAUUGCAUUUUUGAACAUUUCCCCUGUUAAUGCAGUAAUUGAAACAGUUAAUUGGUAAAAUAAUUUUCGCAACCUGGUAUGUGGUUUUAGGGUAAUUUUUUAAUUAUAUAUUUUCGAUCUGUUUUAUUAAAGUAGAAUCAAUGUUACUGUUCUUUUACGUUAUUAUUUUUUAUUCUUUUGGCUAUUGACAGGGUUUUGCUGGAGCCGCGUCA